CGUUCAGAAUGCUCUUGGGUAGAGACUUUUUAACUUGUCCACUAAUACGUGUUACCUUAGGAGACACAAUAGAGAUCGAAGACGUGCGCGAGACAAACGAAGAACAAAUAUUUAGUAUCACCGUUAGCGAAAGUUCCGAUAACGUGCGAGAUGAGUUACGCGUAAAUCCCGAGAUUGGUCAAGAUACAAUUAACAAAGCGCGUGAGAUUUAUAAGUCAAGUUACCUUCGAAAUUUCCAAGCGGGAGAACGCGAAUUUGGUUUUGAAAUGGAUAUUGUUUUAAAGCACGAUCAGCCCAUAAGUGCGCGUCCACGUAGAUUGUCUUUCGCGGAUAAAGAGGCACUACGGAAAAUUCUAGACGAGCUAUUAGAGAAAAAAAUUAUUCGUUCGAGUAAUUCGCCAUACGCGAGUCCAAUUGUACUAGUGCGAAAGAAAACAGGUGAGCUCCGGCUUUGUGUUGAUUUUCGCGAGUUGAAUAAAAUAACGAUACGAGAUAAUUUCCCUACUGAGCUCAUAGACGACAAUAUUGAUCAAUUGAAGAAUAAAAAAUAUUUUUCUGUGUUGGAUCUGAAGGACGGAUUCCAUCACGUUAAAAUGAGUGAAGCGUCGGUUAAGUAUACGUCAUUUGUGACCCCGCUGGGACAAUACGAGUAUUUGCGAAUGCCCUUCGGACUGACAAAUGCACCACGCGUAUUCCAGCGUUUUGUGCAUGCCGUGUUUAACCCACUGAUAAGAGAACAUAAAUUAUUGUUAUAUCUUGAUGAUAUUUUGGUUGCUACAGAGAGCAUUCAUGAGCAUCUAGCAAUUUUAUCGGAGUUAUUUGAACUGGCCGGUAAGAACCAGCUACAAUUUCGAUUGGAUAAGUGUCAUUUUAUUCAGACUGAGAUUAAAUAUCUAGGAUAUUGUAUCAAUCAACACGGGAUACGACCGAGUGACGAAAAUAUAGAGUCCGUGUUAAGUUAUCCGGUUCCGAGGAACGUGAAAGAGAUUCAUCGUUUUGUCGGGCUCGCGAGCUAUUUUAGGAGAUUUGUUCCUAAAUUUUCGUUGUUAGCGAAACCUUUAUAUGAUUUAAUAAAAAAGAACGCCAUAUUUAUUUUCGGCGUGGCGGAGCGCGAGGCAUUUGAGACACUGAAGUGUUGUUUGGCUAGUAGACCGGUAUUAGCAAUUUAUUCACCGCACGCUGAAACGGAACUGCACUGUGAUGCGAGUGCAAGCGGGUUUGGCGGAAUUUUGCUUCAGAAACAAAGCGAUAACGUGUGGAAACCCAUUUCUUAUUGGAGUCAGCGUACUACUGUUACGGAGGCUAAGUAUCACAGCUAUGAGCUCGAGUGCCUCGCGGUGGUUUAUGCGCUAAAAAGGUUUCAUAUUUACCUUGCUGGGCAGGAAUUCAGAAUCAUUACGGACUGUGAUAGUUUCCGUCUUACAUUGAAUAAAAAAGAUGUAAACCCACGAAUAUCGCGUUGGGCGUUGUUUCUGCAAAACUAUAACUAUGUAAUCGUACAUCGACCAGGGAAACGAAUGGCCCAUGUUGACGCGCUUAGUCGAUGUCAUAGCGUAUUAGUACUCGAAGGUAGUACGUUUGAGCGAACCCUGUCGAUUUGUCAGGAUCGGGAUACCGAGAUUCUCAAACUUCGUAAAAAGCUCGAAGAAACCGAAUUAAAACAAUACGAAUUACGUGACGGUCUUGUUUAUAGAAAAGAUAAAAACCAUAAGUUGUUAUUUUAUGUGCCGCGGUCGAUGGAAGCUAAUGUAAUCCGAACAUGCCAUGACGAUAUCGGACACGUCGGUGUCGAUAAGGUUAUUAAUUAUAUUACGAAAGUUUAUUGGUUUCCGAAUAUGCGUGAACGAGUGAAGGAGUACAUUGCAAAUUGUCUUCGAUGUAUAGAGUUCUCACCUUCGAGCGGUAAAACGGAAGGGUUUUUGCAUAAUAUCCCAAAGGAUAAAUUACCGUUUAUGACUGUACACGUAGAUCAUUUCGGUCCGUUGGAGAAAACAGGAAAGGGAUAUCGACACAUACUUGUUAUUGUCGAUGCAUUCACUAAAUUUAUAAGAGUCUAUCCAUGUAAAUCGACUACGACAGAUGAAGCAAUAAAAUGUCUGCGAGAUUAUUUUCGCUCAUAUAGUAAACCAGGGCGUCUGGUUUCGGAUAGAGGUACAUGUUUCACAUCCGAUACAUUUAAAGAGUUUUUAAAGGAUGAAGACGUCCGACAUGUUUUGGUUGCCGUACACACGCCGCGAGCUAAUGGCCAAGUGGAGCGCUUUAAUAGAAUUCUAGCGCCAAUGAUAGCAAAAAUUAGCGAAACUCCCUCCACGUGGGAUCGUGUUUUGAGUGAAGUCGAGUAUUCUUUGAAUAAUACUGUUUGUCGAUCCACCGGUGAAACUCCUUCGCGAUUAAUGUUUGGAGUUGACCAAAAGGGAAAGCCUAAUGAUGUUUUGCGUAAAAUGUUCGAGUCGGAUGUGGACCGUGAUCUCAUAGAAAUUCGGGAACAAGCGUCUGUUAAUAUUGAAAAAUCGCAAUCGAAAAAUGAACAACGGUAUAAUUUGCGGAGAAAGGCUGCGCGUUUGUAUGAGGUAGGUGAUUACGUUGAAAUUCGUAAUGUAGAGGCCACUCCUGGCGUUAAUAAAAAGCUGUUACCGAAGUUUAAAGGGCCUUAUGUAAUAAAGACUGUUCUCGAUUGCGAUCGAUGUGUAAUUACUGAUGUAGAAGGGUUCCAGUUGACCCAACGACCGUAUACUGGUGUCGUAGCGCCGGAUCAGAUGCGACCCUACAUCCAUUAAUAAUUUAUAGCGUUUGCGUAUUUCUUGCGUUAACUGAUGAUUCCUUGUGUUGGUUGUGUUAGUUUUAAGCCUAGUGGUAAGUUUUGUGAAACUGUUGUUUUGUGCACUUGUUUGACCGGGACGGUCAAUAAGUCAGAAUGGCCGAACUGUAGGCAUAUUUGUGUGAAACUAUUUGUGUGAGUGAUCACGCUUGUCUCGAGUGUUCUCGUCCUGACUUGUUCGUGCGGGACAGCAUGGGUAAUGGAAAGUUCUGGCAAUCGGAAGUAACGGUUUUUCGGGAUCCGUUGAUUGGUCGCGUAUGAUCUUACGAUCGCGCAUAAUUGGUUAUCGAGAGAUACCCUCCCCCCCCCGCAGGGAGGGGAGUGUGCCGGGAGCGCGAGCAUUCGUGACGAGCAGUGAGAAUUGAGAUUGCGAGUAGAUUGAGUGACGACUACAGAUUUCAUCCUGGACGACGACUACAAGAACCUUGAACAUCAACUGUAUCCCCAGCCGUGGUAACGACGGAAGUGAAAAUACGUGCAGUGAGAGUUUAACAAGGAAGU